rnacentral:rRNA from 1 species
CUGGCUGCAACUGUUUAAUAAAAACACAGCACUGUGCAAACACGAAAGUGGACGUAUACGGUGUGACGCCUGCCCGGUGCUGGAAGGUUAAUUGAUGGGGUCAGCCGCAAGGCGAAGCUCUUGAUCGAAGCCCCAGUAAACGGCGGCCGUAACUAUAACGGUCCUAAGGUAGCGAAAUUCCUUGUCGGGUAAGUUCCGACCUGCACGAAUGGCGUAAUGAUGGCCAGGCUGUCUCCACCCGAGACUCAGUGAAAUUGAACUCGCUGUGAAGAUGCAGUGUACCCGCGGCAAGACGGAAAGACCCCGUGAACCUUUACUAUAGCUUGACACUGAACAUUGAGCCUUGAUGUGUAGGAUAGGUGGGAGGCUUUGAAGCGUGGACGCCAGUCUGCGUGGAGCCAUCCUUGAAAUACCACCCUUUAAUGUUUGAUGUUCUAACUCUGCCCCAUAAUC